ensembl:lncRNA
GUGGUGUAUAUAUACACAGUGGAAUACUACUCCGCCAUAAAAGAACAAAAUAAUGCCAUUUGCAGCAACAAAGGUGGAACUAGAGAUUCUCAUAGUAAGUGAAGUAAGUCAGAAAGAGAAAGACAUACCGUAUGAUAUCACUUAUAUCUGGAAUCUAAUACAUGGCACAGAGGAACCUUUCCAUAGAAAAGAAAAUUGUGGACAUGGAGAAUAGACCUGUGGUUGCCAAGGGGGAGGGGGAGAGAGUGGGAUGGACUGGGAAUUUGGGGUUAAUAGAUGCAAACUGUUGCCUUUGGAAUGGAUAAGCAAUGAGAUCCUGUUGUAUAGCACUUGAAACUGUAUCUAGGCACUUAUGAUGGAGCUUGAUAAUAUGUGUAUGUGUGACUGGGUCACUUUGAUGAACAGUAGAAAAUUGACAGGACACUGUAAACCAACUAUAAUGGGAAAAAAGUUAAAAGUAAAUAAAUAAAUAAUCCAUUCAUUUCUCAGUGAUCUGUGGGACCAACUCUAUUGUAAAUUGUCUCCAAAUUCACAUAGGUUUGUCUAAGCUUUCUUUUUCAGUAAUCAAUUUAUAUACUAACACUAUAAUGUUUUAUUUAUUAUAACUUAAAGAGUGUUUAUUUUGUCAAGCUUCCUCCCACCCCCACACCCCAUGCAUAUACUGUUUCUUAGGAUGCCUUAGUGAUUCUUGGCUCAUUGAUGAUCUUCCAUAUAAGUUUUAGAAUCAAUUUAUCAAAAUUCCAAAUCCUGAAAAAAAUACGUAUUUUCAUUAGAAUUGCAUUUCCUAUUGAAAAAUUUAGAAAGAAUUAACAUCUUCAUGAUGUUGCUUCUUCGAACCCUUGCAUAUGACACUUUGGUGCAUUUAUUUAAAACUUUUUUUGGCCUUCCAUGAAAUUUUAUGAUCUUUAUAUGUUUCUUCAUAGUAUUUUUGCACAUUUCUAUUAGAUAUAUUCAUAGGUACUUGAUAUUUUUAUACUAUUGCAAAUGAUAUUUUAAAAUGUUACACUUAUAACAAUUCCUUUUCUAGAUAUAUGUAAACUAUACUUUCAACAGAAUUGAAGGUAGAGACUUGAAUAGAUAUUUGUGUGCCAGUGUUCAUAGCAGCACUAUUUCCAAUACCCAAAAGGUAGAAAUAAUCCAAAUGUACCUUGACUAAUGAAUGGAUAAACAAAAUAUGGCAUAUCUGUACAAUGGAGCAUUAUUCAGCUUUUAAAAAAGGAAAUUUUGACAUAUACUACAACAUAGAUGAGUCUUGAGGAAGUUAUGCUAAGUGAAACAAGCCAGUUGCUAAAGGACAAAUACUGUAUGAUUUCACAUGUAUGAGGUGGCUAGAGUAGUUAAAUUCGUGGAGACAGAAGAAUGUUGGUUAUUAGAGCCUGGGGGAGGAGGGAAUGGGGAGUUACUGUUUAAUGGAUGUGGUGUAUCAGUUUGAGGAGAUGAAAGAAGUUCUGGAGAGGGAUGGUUAUGAUGACCCCACAAUGUUAUCAGCAUACUUAAAACCAUUGGACUAUGUAUAUAUAUUGUCUUUUUAAGGCCACACCCACAACAUGUGGAGGUUCCCAGGCUAGGGGUCUAAUUGGAGCUGUAGCUGCCUCCCUACACCACAGCCACAGUAACAUGGGAUCCAGGUCAUGUCUGCAACUUACACCACAUCUCACAGCAAUGCCAGAUCCCUAACCCACUGAGCAUGGCCAGGGAUCGAACCCACGUCCUCAAUGGAUACUACCUGGGUUCGUUACUGCUAAGCUAUGACAGGAACUCCUGACUAUACUAUGUAUUUGAUGGUUAAAAUGAGAAAUUUCAUGUUGUAUAUGUUUUACCACACAAAAAAUCACAUUGUAAAGUUUUUUGCUGGUAUAUAAAAAUGCACUUGAUAUUGUGUAUUAAUUUUGAUUCUAGUAGCCUUGCCAAACUCUUACUAAUUCUGAGGUUUUUUUGCAGCUUCAUCUUGAUUCCCUUUGUGCAUGGUCAAGUCAUAUGUAUAUAAUGACAGUUUUCUUUUUUUAAUAUUUUAUUUUUUUCUGGGUUUAUCCAUUUGCCUAGAGCAUUAAGUAAAUGGUGAUAGCAGGAUUCCCUUUCUUAAUCUUAAAGAAAAGCACUUUGGACUUUUUCCGUUAAAUGGGAUGUACAUUUUUUGUUUUGUUUUGUUUUUUAUUUAGCCUUUAUUGGAUUUAAGGAAAUCUCUUUCUGGUUUGUUAAGAUUUAAUUUUUGUCAUGAGUGCUAUUGCAUUUUAUUAUAUACUUUCUGCAUCUAUUGAAAUGAGAUGGUUUUCUCCUAAUCUGUUAGUGUGAUAAAAUACAAUAAUUGAUUUUCUAAUGUUAAAUCAAUCUGUAAUUCCUCAGUUAAAACCUAAAUUGAUAAUAAUGUAUUAUAUUUUUCAUGCAGUGGUAGAUUAAGUUUUCUGACAUUUCAUUUAGGACGUUUUCAUAUAUGUUCCUGAGUCAAAUUGUUUUGUUAUUUUUUUUCUCAAAUUAUCUUUGUGAGGGUUGCAUUGACCUAAUACAAUGAGUUGCAGAGAGGAAUUAUUUCUACUUUAGGUGGUCAGUAGAAUUUGCUGUUUAAACAAAGAUUGUCAGACUUUUUCUUUAUAGUGCUAGAUAAUAAAUAUUUUAGACUCCGUGAACCACAUGGUCUCUGUUGCAGGCCCUCAGUUCUCCCAUUCGUAUUGUGACAGCAGCCGUAGGCAAUACAUAAUAAAUCAGUGUGGCUGGGUUCUGAUAAAACUUUAUUUACAAAACUAACAGCAGGCCUAAUUUGCCAAUGGGAAACUCCUGGUUUAAACUAUCUGAGUCUGAAAUUUCUUUUUAAAGGUAUUUUUAAAAAUUUCUCUAUUUCUUGGAGUUCCCAUCAUGGCUCAGUGGUUAAUGAAUCCGACUUGGAACCAUGAGGUUGCAGGUUCGAUCCCUGGCCAUACUCAGUGGGUUAAGGAUCCGGCUUUGCCGUGAGCUGUGGUGUGGGUCUCAGACGCAGCUCGGAUCCCGCAUUGCUGUGGCUCUGGCAUCGGCCGGUGGCUACAGCUCUGAUUGGACCCCUAUGCUGAGAACCUCCAUAUGCCGAGGGAAGCAGCCCUAGAAAAGGCAAAAAGCAAAAAAAAAAAACAACAAAAAAA